rnacentral:rRNA from 1 species
GAUGUUGGCUUAGAAGCAGCCAUGCAUUUAAAGAGUGCGUAACAGCUCACUGGUCAAGUGGACAUGCGCCGACAAUACACGGGGCUAAGUACGAUACCGAAGCAGCGGACUGAUUUAUCAGUGGUAGGGGAGCUUUCUUAUCUGGGUUGAAGCGAAGUGGUAACGCUUCGUGGACUGAUAAGAAGUGAGAAUGCUGGCAUGAGUAACGAGAGAGGAGCGAGAAACUCCUCCGCCGUAAACCUAAGGGUUCCUGGGCAAGGCUAAUCCUCCCAGGGUCAGUCGGGAGCUAAGGCGAGGCAGACAUGCGUAGCCGAUGCACAACAGGUUGAUAUUCCUGUACCACCACGUAUUCGUUAUGACGAUGGGGUGACGGAGAAGGGUAGCCGGGCGGGGUUCUGGACGUCCCCGUGAAAGCGUGUAGGGUGAUAAGUAGGCAAAUCCGCUUGUCAUAUACCUGAGACGUUAGACGAAGCUCUAAGUGAAGUCGGUAAGCCCAUGCUUCCAAGAAAAACCUCUAAGCAGAAUGCGAGGUGCCCGUACCAAAACCGACACAGGUAGGUGGGUAGAGCAUACCAAGGCGAUCGGGAGAACCAUGGUUAAGGAACUCGGCAUAAUGACUCCGUAACUUCGGGAGAAGGAGUGCCCUUGUUGGUGACUAAACUUGCUUUACGAGCUGAUGAGGGUCGCAGCGAAACGGCCCAAGCGACUGUUUAUCAAAAACACAGGACUCUGCUAAGUCGCAAGACGACGUAUAGGGUCUGACGCCUGCCCGGUGCUGGAAGGUUACGUGGAUGUGUUAGCAUCUCGCGAAGCACUGAAACUAAGCCCCAGUAAACGGCGGCCGUAACUAUAACGGUCCUAAGGUAGCGAAAUUCCUUGUCGGGUAAGUUCCGACCUGCACGAAUGGCGUAACGAUUUGGGCGCUGUCUCGACCAUGGACCCGGUGAAAUUGUAUUAUUCGUGAAGAUGCGAAUUACCUGCGGAAGGACGGAAAGACCCCGUGAACCUUUACUGCAGCUUGGCAUUGGCUGUUGGCACGUCGUGUAGAGGAUAGGUGGGAGACUGUGAAGCAGAAACGCCAGUUUCUGUGGAGUCACCCUUGGAAUACCACCCUCGGCUUGCUGGCAGCCUAACGUGUGACCGUUAUCCGGCACACGGACCGUGCCAGGUGGGUAGUUUGACUGGGGCGGUCGCCUCCUAAAUGGUAACGGAGGCGUGCGUAAGGUUCGCUCAGGAUGGUUGGCAAUCAUCCGUAGAGCACAAGAGUAUAAGCGAGCUUGACUGCGAGACCUACAAGUCGAGCAGAGACGAAAGUCGGUUCUAGUGAUCCGGCGGCCCAGCGUGGAAUGGCCGUCGCUCAACGGAUAAAAGGUACUCCGGGGAUAACAGGCUGAUCUUGCCCA